GCACAAGCGGUGGAGCAUGUGGUUUAAUUCGAAGCAACGCGAAGAACCUUACCAAAUCUUGACAUCCUCUGACCCCUCUAGAGAUAGAGUUUUCCCCUUCGGGGGACAGAGUGACAGGUGGUGCAUGGUUGUCGUCAGCUCGUGUCGUGAGAUGUUGGGUUAAGUCCCGCAACGAGCGCAACCCUUAAGCUUAGUUGCCAUCAUUAAGUUGGGCACUCUAAGUUGACUGCCGGUGACAAACCGGAGGAAGGUGGGGAUGACGUCAAAUCAUCAUGCCCCUUAUGAUUUGGGCUACACACGUGCUACAAUGGACAAUACAAAGGGUAGCGAAACCGCGAGGUCAAGCAAAUCCCAUAAAGUUGUUCUCAGUUCGGAUUGUAGUCUGCAACUCGACUAUAUGAAGCUGGAAUCGCUAGUAAUCGUAGAUCAGCAUGCUACGGUGAAUACGUUCCCGGGC
rnacentral:rRNA from 1 species